UCUUCAUCCUGGGCAUCCUCAUCAUUCUCAGCAAGAGAUGCCGAUGCAAGUUCAACCAGCAACAGAGAACUGGGGAACCCGAUGAAGAGGAGGGAACUUUCCGCAGCUCCAUCCGCCGUCUGUCCACCCGCAGGCGGUAGAAACACCUGGUGCCAUGGAACUCGGCCAGGUCCUGCAGCGCCGCCUGGGCUUGGGGAGUGGGCACGGGAGGGAGGAAGAGGGGGUGAUGUACCAGCCUGGGCAGUGGCUAAGAGGGGGAGGAGGAGAGGGCUUGAGGUCCUUCCUCGCCUCUCACCCUUUUCCCCCCACAGGAUUCCCCUAGCACCUGAUGCGUUCCACCCACCUCCUGCUCACCUGCCACCUAGACUGCCCCCUUUCCCAGCCCUGCCUCACUGAGUCCCCAAGCCUCUCAGAUUUCCAAUAAAACGUGCUUUUCUCUCUUGA